rnacentral:rRNA from 1 species
UUGCCUACGGGAGGCAGCAGUGGGGGAUAUUGCACAAUGGGGGAAACCCUGAUGCAGCGACGCCGCGUGAGUGAAGAAGUAUUUCGGUACGUAAAGCUCUAUCAGCAGGGAAGAAUAAUGACGGUACCUGACUAAGAAGCCCCGGCUAACUACGUGCCAGCAGCCGCGGUAAUACGUAGGGAGCAAGCGUUAUCCGGAUUUAUUGGGUUUAAAGGGUGCGUAGGCGGACAGUCAAGUCAGCGGUAAAAAUGCGGUGCUCAACGCCGUACAGCCGUUGAAACUGGCAGUCUUGAGUGGGCGAGAAG